GAUGAACGCUGGCGGCGUGCUUAACACAUGCAAGUCGAACGGAAAGGCGCCUUUUUGCAUGGGUACUCGAGUGGCGCACGGGUGAGUAACACGUGGGUGAUCUGCCCUGCACUUCGGGGUAAGCCUGGGGAACUGGGUCUAAUACCGGAUAGGACGAUGUUAUGGAUGCGAUUCUGGAGAGCUUUGCGGUGUGGGGUGAGCUAGCGGCCUAUCAGCUUGUUGGUGGGGUAAUGGCUUACCAAGGCGUCGACGGGUAGCCGGCAUGAGAGGGUGUACGGCAACAUGGGGACUGAGAGACGGCGCAGACGGCUACGGGAGGCAGCGGUGGGGAAUAUGGCACAAUGGGGGCAAGCGUGAUGUGGCGGCGCCGCGUGGGGGAUGACGGCCUGCGGGUUGCAAACACCUUUCGCUAGAGACGAAGCGCAGGUGACGGUACCUGGAGAAGAAGCACCGGCUAACUACGUG
rnacentral:rRNA from 1 species